rnacentral:lncRNA from 1 species
CUCCCUCCCUCCCUCUUCUCUCAGUUGGGGCUGUUUUUAGAUUUUGAUCACUGACCCAACUCUGUAAAGUUUCAAUCUUUUUCAUUAUUCCCAUAGUUUUAUUAUCACCCAACUCCUCAAAUUAUCUUAAUGUAAGCUUUUACAACUCAUUUUUAUUUCUAAAUGCUGAUUCUUGAUCUUAUUGGCCCACUUUUUUUUUCUCCUUUUUUUGCUCAAGUUUCUUUCUUGCUCAUUGCAGGUGAAUGUUAUAUGCACAGAUCUUAAUAUGCUUUGACCUAGCUGAAUAGCCCUCAGUCUGUGUGGACCUCAGCUAAAAGAACAAUAGGUAGAGAUUUCAAUCUUUGAUUCAGAAAUUUUGAUGCUUGUCUGCAAUCUGUGCUUUCUUUUUUCACUACUUAGUUCACCAAGAAUAUACCUUUCAUAUUGUUAAAUGAGAGUGAGAAUGUGCAUCAUGUGGAUUUGUUGGUAAUUAACUUUUUGGAUUUAUAGGCUCCCUUCAGUUGCAAUAGGCUGAUCCCUGAAAAAUUUGAAUCCACAGCUGUCUUCUUACUGCUGAGUUGUUUAUAAUACAUAUUACACAUUAUAUCAUGGAAAAAAGAAGGAAAAUGAUUAUGGAACAGGAGUUGAUUUUUUAGCUAUUUUCUCCACGAUACUACAACAACAACAACAACAACCUAGUAUAAUCACACUUAAUGGGGUCUGGGUAGGGUAGUGUGUACGCAGACCUUACCCCUACCCUUGUGUUAUGGACGGCACUAUUUUCGCCCCAAAACAGGCUCAAAACAGCUCCAAAAUGCUUCCGGAACAGUCCAGCGUGCCCCGGAAGGCCCUGGAAGACUCNN